GGCUCCAUAGCUCAGGGGUUAGAGCCCUGGUCUUGUAAAUCAGGGGUUGUGAGUUCAACCCUCACUGGAGCCU
rfam:Alligator sinensis unplaced genomic scaffold scaffold13_1, whole genome shotgun sequence